CGGCUCGUAGCUCAAGGGUCAGAGCAGGCUCCUUAUAAGGGCACGACGUCGGUUCAACUCCGUCCGGGCCGA
rnacentral:tRNA from 1 species